GACAGAGGGUGCAAACGUUGUUCGGAAUUACUGGGCGUAAAGCGUGUGUGGGUGGCUGCGUAAGUCGGAUGUGAAAGCCCUGGGCUCAACUCAGGAAGUGCACUCGAUACUGCGUAGCUCGAGUACCGGAGAGGUUGGUAGAAUUCUCGGUGUAGAGGUGAAAUUCGUAGAUAUCGAGAGGAAUACCUGUGGCGAAGGCGGCCAACUGGACGAGUACUGACACUGAGACACGAAAGCGUGGGGAGCAAACAGG
rnacentral:rRNA from 1 species